rnacentral:misc_RNA from 1 species
UGACAUUAUUGGUUGUUCCUUCCCAAAUGGGUUGAGAUAGGUGAGGCCUAGAGUGAAAAGACCAUUGAACAAGAAGACAUAUCCAACCAAUGCUCCUAGACCGAUCCAGUACCAGUUUGCAUCAGGAAAGACUCCACGAGAUUUCAAGAUGGUCACCCCAAGAGUCUCUUUGGAACCAGGAAGUAUACGUCUCCAGCUUCUCCCAAGGAACUCAUUUGUUG